rnacentral:ribozyme from 10 species
AAAGAAGCAAGAAAAGAAUCAAUAAAAGAAGCAAUGGUAUACGAGAUCUGUGUGCUGAUAUAUUCUUUUUCUUACUGUUAGCUUGUUUUUUUCCAAUA